AUUAGAACCUUCCUUGAGCUUGGAUUGGAAGGGUUCUAGCUCUCGUUUGGAGCUUAGGAGAGGAUUUUUACUCAUUAGGUAAGUUUUAGCCCUUUUGCUAUAUUUGUUAAUGUUUGAUCUUAUAGAUGGUCGUAAUGCCCGUGUAUCUUGUCGCUCAAUGCUUUUAGGGUAUUUUGAGACUCGGGGACAACUUUGUUCGGCGAAUCGAGACCCUACGCGACGGUUCGGUGGGUUUGA
rnacentral:lncRNA from 1 species